UACGAAGGGGGCUAGCGUUGUUCGGAAUUACUGGGCGUAAAGCGCGCGCAGGCGGCUCUUCAAGUCAGGGGUGAAAGCCCAGAGCUCAACUCUGGAACUGCCCUUGAAACUGUGGAGCUUGAGUACGGUAGAGGUGAGUGGAAUUCCCAGUGUAGAGGUGAAAUUCGUAGAUAUUGGGAAGAACACCGGUGGCGAAGGCGGCUCACUGGACCGUUUCUGACGCUCAUGCGCGACAGCGUGGGGAU
rnacentral:rRNA from 1 species